UAUAAAGGCCAAUUUUAUGAAUUAUGUUAUUUAAUAUUUUUAUUGCUUAUGUUAUUAACACAUUUGCCAUUUCCCAUCCAGGCAGGGAAAAGGCCGGUGUGUUAAUAAUACAGUGGAACCUUGGUACUCGAACUUAAUUCAUUCCAGAAGGCUGUUUGAGUGCCAAUCUGUUUGAGUAUCAAACAAAUUCUUCCCAACCAAUUUUCGUUUUGGUUGGCUGUUAUCACUAAUCUUCGUAGGCCUCAUGGUGACUUGUUUAUACAAAUAAUAUAAAAACAACACCAAAAAAUGCAAAGAAACAUAAAAUAGUUUACACUGAAGUUCUGGCAGGUCAUGUUUGUUUGGUUGAGUGCUGAGCUUUGUUUGAGUAGGGAGUUGUUCGAGUAUCGAGUUUCCUCUGUAUAAAAAUAAAAAUAUUAUAUAACACAAUUGAUAAAAUUUGCCUUUAUACAAACAGCUGUUUACCAGAAACAGCUCACAGCAGGCAUGUGUGAGUUUGUUAAAUAGGAGUGAAAGGAGAUGAAUGGUUUUUGGGACUUGACAAGUUGUUGGAGUGUGAGCACAGUAAUAUUUUGUAAAGGGAUUCAGGGAAGCUGGUUAGCCAGACUUGAGUCCUAAAGGUGGGAAGUACAAUGCCUGCACUUUAAUGGAAGGUUUUGGGAUAUUUGCUGUUUGGAGUGACAUUUGAACUGCCAUAUUAAUCUGUGUGCCUCUGAAAGACAGUUAUUAUGUGUGAAUGAUAGUGAAGUGUUUUUCUUUUUUAUGUCACCCUGCCUUGGUGGGAGAUGGCCUGUGUAUUAAAAAAAACUGAAUAAUGAAAAAUGUCAGCUUAUUUAUUUAUUUAUUUAUUUUUUAACAUGUCGGCAUUUCCCACUGAGGCAGGGUGAUCCCAAAAGAAAGAAAAAAUAACUUUAAUCAUCAUUCAACACUUUCAUCAUAACUCAUACAUAAUCACUGUUUUUGCAGAAGCACUCAGAUACAACAGUUUAGAUGUCUCUCCAAACUGCAAAUAUCCCAAACCCCCCCUUUAGAGUGCAGGCAUUGUAUGUACUUCCCAUUUCCAGGACUCAAGUCUGUUUAACUGGUUUCCCUGAAUCUCUUCACAAAAUAUUACCCUGCUCACACUCCAACAGCUCAUCAGAUCCCAAAAACUAUUCAUCUCUGUUCACUUGUAUCAGUCAUGCUCACACAUACUUGCUAGAACUCCAAGCCCUUCGCCCAUUUAUUAAUUUUGAAAUUAUGAUUAUAUAGUGUGCUAUAUAUAUGUUGUAUAAUGCAGGUGGGGUGUAGCCUGGACCUUUGAUCCUUCUUUAAAAUUAAACCAAGUGAAAAGUAAAAAAGACAUGGCAACAAAUAAACCACUUAUCCUGAUGAUGCCAAGAAGUCUGAUGAGUGUGUACUCUGUACCGUCAGCUUGGAACAUGAUUAACAAGUGGCUCCAUCAUCUCAAGGUAAUAUGAACAUAGAUGGAAAUAAUUCAGAAAUUAUAGAAAAUGGAAAUGGUAGAUCAUCUAAAAGAAAAAGAGAGGCAGGGGGAGAAACCUGUGGUGAUCAUGAUGGAGAGAUGAUGAUGAAAGUCAACAUUUGUACUGACCGUGAUUUUAAAACAAAUAGAUGUAGUGAGGCUAUACCCAAAAACCAGUCUUCAUUAGAUUGUUCCCUUACCAGCAGCCAUCUGGGUAGCCCACAUAGUAUAUCUGUAAAGGAAAUCCCUCAGAAUCACUCUAAGCAAGAAAAUUUGAAAUUAACCCAAGGAAAAGACAAGCUGCAGAAUUUAAAUAAAGGUAAACAGGAAAGAUUGGAGAGCAUUUUAAGAUGUAACUUGCAAGUGAAACAGUCAGGGGCACUCAUCAGUCUAGAAGCCUUUUAUCUAGGUGGGUCAUCUGGUAAGGAUGGUCUUAAUCAGCUUCUUCAGUUUAUGAGAAAUCAACUUACCAAGCCAACUGUGUGAUUGAUUAAUUUAAAAACAAACUACAGCAUGUUCAUACUGAAAGUUAAGACUUUUAAAUUACAUUUUUAAAUAUAA